CGCGGCCUAUCAGCUUGUUGGUGGGGUAAUGGCCUACCAAGGCGACGACGGGUAGCCGGCCUGAGAGGGCGACCGGCCACACUGGGACUGAGACACGGCCCAGACUCCUACGGGAGGCAGCAGUGGGGAAUAUUGCACAAUGGGCGGAAGCCUGAUGCAGCGACGCCGCGUGAGGGAUGACGGCCUUCGGGUUGUAAACCUCUUUCAGCAGGGACGAAGCGCAAGUGACGGUACCUGCAGAAGAAGCGCCGGCCAACUACGUGCCAGCAGCCGCGGUAAGACGUAGGGCGCGAGCGUUGUCCGGAUUUAUUGGGCGUAAAGAGCUCGUCGGCGGCUUGUCGCGUCGACUGUGAAAACCCGUGGCUCAACUGCGGGCCUGCAGUCGAUACGGGCAGGCUAGAGUUCGGUAGGGGAGACUGGAAUUCCUGGUGUAGCGGUGAAAUGCGCAGAUAUCAGGAGGAACACCGGUGGCGAAGGCGGGUCUCUGGGCCGAUACUGACGCUGAGGAGCGAAAGCGUGGGGAGCGAACAGGAUUAGAUACCCUGGUAGUCCACGCUGUAAACGUUGGGCGCUAGGUGUGGGGGGCCUCUCCGGUUCUCUGUGCCGCAGCUAACGCAUUAAGCGCCCCGCC
rnacentral:rRNA from 1 species